rnacentral:rRNA from 1 species
GACGAACGCUGGCGGCGUGCCUAACACAUGCAAGUCGAACGGAGAUAGUUAAUGAAGCUUGCGAUUUAGCUAUCUUAGUGGCGAACGGGUGAGUAACGCGUGGGUAACCUGCCCUUAAGACCGGGACAACAGCUGGAAACGGCUGCUAAUACCGGAUGUAUUGUCCGAGAGGCAUCUCUUGGAGAAGAAAGCUGGCCUCUGAAAAUGCUAGCGCUUAGGGAUGGACCCGCGUCUGAUUAGCUAGUUGGUGGGGUAGCGGCCUACCAAGGCGACGAUCAGUAGCCGGCCUGAGAGGGUAAACGGCCACACUGGGACUGAGACACGGCCCAGACUCCUACGGGAGGCAGCAGUGGGGAAUCUUCCGCAAUGGACGAAAGUCUGACGGAGCAACGCCGCGUGUAUGAAGAAGGCCUUCGGGUUGUAAAAUACUGUUAUUAGGGAAGAACGGCAUCUGUGUAAAUAAUGCAGGUGAUUGACGGUACCUAACGAGGAAGCCCCGGCUAACUACGUGCCAGCAGCCGCGGUAAUACGUAGGGGGCAAGCGUUGUCCGGAAUCAUUGGGCGUAAAGGGCGCGUAGGCGGCAAUAUAAGUCUGAUGUGAAAGUGCGGAGCUUAACU